AGGAGCUGACUUCAGUUUGUGGUGCGCAUGUAAGGAGCCAGGAGAAGGAGGCGCUAGGAGCUGAGAGUGAGAACGCAUACUGUUGGAGGACUGAGGAGUACAAUCAUCAUCAGACACCAGGCGGAAGGUCCUAUGAACGCCACUGCUCUGCAGACGUCUAGCAUAUGAAGGGACACAUCCCUGUUAUUGGCGUACGGCUUGGGAAAGAAUACAGGACACUGCUCAACAGGGGGAUUGGAGGGAAGGCAUACAGGAGUGGGACCUCCCAUUUCGUUAGGAAGGCGUCUCCCAGAGAGUUCUGU